UCUUUAAGACUCUCUUCGGUGACGGGUAUUCUUGGGUGGAUAAUACGGAUUACGUUGUUAUUGCUUAAGAAUACGCGUAGUCGAGGAGAGUACAUCUUCA
rnacentral:pre_miRNA from 12 species